GCUCGUUGCCCCUGCGUACGCCAGAGUCCUACCCCCUUGCUGGAAGUGCAGUGUUUGGUUCGAAAGUUCUGUUAUUUGGGACACAAAUCUGACCGGCAACAACCUCACCCAUAAAAAUGAAAAAGAAGCAGUUCCAGAUGGACGCCAUGGAAGUUCACUGCUGCUGCUAGUCAUGCCUGGACUCUUGGCGGUGCCACUCUGAACUCCAGCUCUCUGCA